rnacentral:sRNA from 1 species
AAGCUGACGAGAGGAAACUGCCGGGGAGGGUGAAAUGGGUGGUGCUGACCUGGUAGAAACUCCACGGGCCUCAAAGCGGAACCUUUCCUGAAUUAACCAGCCUGUCUGGCCUGUUUUUGGCAGCUCAAGCAGGAAGCCAGGACCAGGGAGCCCUGUCCACGGGAGAAGCAGCGGCUGAUGCGGAUGCAUGCCAUCUGCCCCAGAGACGACAGCGACUGCAGCCUCGUCAGCUCCACAGAGUCUCAGCUCUUGUCGGACCUGAGCGCCACGUCCAGCCGCGAGCUGGUGGACAGCUUCCGCUCCAGCAGCCCCGCGCCCCCCAGCCAGCAGUCCCUGUACAAGCGGGUGGCCGAGGACUUCGGGGAAGAACCCUGGUCUUUCAGCAGCUGCCUGGAGAUCCCGGAGGGAGACCCGGGAGCCCCGCCGGGAGCUAAGGCAGGCGACCCACACCUGGAUUAUGAGCUCCUAGACACGGCAGGUGAGCGCGCCCAACCCCAAACCUCCACAGCAGUCCACCUCCCCUGGGCAGAGCAGGGAGCUGAUGAGAAAGCCAGGGCCUCUCUCCAGGGAAAGGGCAGAUAGAAGCAGAGCUCAACUUCUGCCCUGGGCCUUGACCUUGGCCUCGACCUUGCACUUUGGGAAAGUCCCGCCUGCCAGCCAGCAUAAACCAAAGGCCGGCUGCGCUCUGUCUGCUGGCGUCCUUGUGUUUUUCCCUAGAGCCAGGGGAGUUGUGUCUGAUCCACGCCCUGCUCAGCACCCAGCCCCCGCUCUGAUCUGUAACACUUGGGCUUCCCAGUGGUUUCAGAAGGCAGCAGGCAGGGUCGCUUAGUGGUGCCAGGCUGAGGCGAGGCACAGCGUGACAUCUACCUGCGGGGAGCAUCUCUCAGGCGCUGGCCCUGAGGCCUCGCGCUUCUCCUGUGGCUCAUUUCUGUUUGUGAUUGGACCGGCCGUCUCUCCUUCCCAAGUCCAUGGGCCCGUCAUGGGUGGGUGCCUUAAUCCUUUCCACCUCGGCGCGACCGGCUCCCAGCCUUGGGCCUUGCACACAGUAGGUGCUUUGCUCCCCAUUUGGAAUUCACCCCGUGGCCACCAGGGGGCGCAAGUGCCCUGCGCUGCCCCUGUGCCUUCUGUGGGUCGCAGAAUCAGAAACCUUCAUCUUUGGGGACUCAUACACGUUUUUAUUUAUAAUAGUGAUAAAUCAAGAGAGACCACCCAAGGCAUAUCUAAAUUAGAUGUGAGAUGAGAAGGGGGGCUUAUUCCUCUUUAUUUUUCCUCUGUGAGGAUUCUGCGUAAUGCCCUGGUUGCAUAUACUUUUAGUGGAAUUGACCUCAAAUACAUCCAGAGUACACACCUCAUUUCAUUGGCUUUGAAUGUGAUCCCAAUGGGUUUUUGCCUGUGAGCCAGGCCUAGGGAACUCUCAGGUCUCUGCUGGCCCUGGCUCUGCUGUGUGGUUCACAGAGUGAGACUUGCAGCCGUGGACCCUGGCAGGCUGCUCCCUGGUUCGGGGGCUCACAGGCUGUACAGUAAAAUGCUAGAGCUUGGGAGACCCUGGGGAGCCUCUAGUCCUAGGAUUGACAACUCAGAGACCUGCCACCACCAGCUGGGAAGCAGAGGAGUCUGGGGUAAGGAGCAGGCAGCCGCUGGCCAGUGCCAGUGAUUGCGGCCACACAGAAAUGCAAGCCAGUGUGGAAAUGCAGGGCAGCGUGGAAAUGCCGUGUACUACAGUAGUGCAGGUCUGGGUAGAAAUGCAGGUCCAUGUUUGGGAGGUCAAGGUGGGCGGAUCAUGAGGUCAAGAGAUCAAGACCAUCCUGGCCAACAUGGUGAAACCUCAUCUCUACUAAAAAUACAAAAGUCAGCUGGGCAUGGUGGCACACACCUGUAGUCCCAGUUACUCAGGAGGCUGAGGCAGGAGAAUCACUUGAACCUGGGAGGCGGAGGUUGCAGUGAGCCAAGAUCGCACCACUGCACUCCAGCCUGGCGACAGAGCGAGACUCCGUCUCAACAACAAUAACAACAACAACAAAAGAAAUGCAGAUCCAUGUAGAAAGGCAGGCCAGGGCCGGGUGUGGUGGCUCACGCCUGUAAUCCCAGCACUUUGGGAGGCCAAAGUGGGUGGAUCAUGAGGUCAGGAGUUCGAGACCAGCCUGGUCAACAUGGUGAACUCCCGUAUCUACUAAAAAUACAAAAAUUAUCUGGGCGUGGUGGCGCAUGCCUCUAGUCCCAGCUACUCAGGAGGCUGAGGCAGAAGAAUUGCUUGAACGCGGGAGGCGGAGGUUGCAGUGAGCUGAGAUCACAGCACUGUACUCCAGCCUGGGCGACAGAGUGAGACUCUGUCUC